ACUGACAGCUUCCAUAUUGGUGAGUUUUUCCUGUAAAUAACCUUUUGGGUAUUUACAACUACCAUCUUUUCAUUAUUGUUACCGUACAUGUGGCAAGAUGUUUAGAACCAGAUGAAGUCGGUCUUGUUGGUAAGGAGGUAAAGAGGCUUCAAAAGUCUUGUGAAGAGUCAGAUAUAGCCCUACAAGAAUUUCAUUAAUUUUUAUAUUUCCCCUCACUGCUUUGAUUGAAGGACAUUGCAGAGAGUAAUACGUACCAUCUCCCAGAUUUUAUGUUUAAGUGAACAAACUUCAGCCAGAAAAAGGCCAAAAUAGGGUGAGGCAACUGCUUCCUAAAGUGCUGCUUGAACUCUCCUACCAAAUAAGCCCAUGGGACUCACCCACACCACGCAGUCUGACACAGAGCUAUCAAUCCUUGCUACUUCUUGGGUCAGUUUUGUGCUACUUGUUGUGAGUGAUAGGUAAGAUACAGGCUGUACUGACCUUACUCCGUUUUUUUAUUCACAAGAGUAACCUAUAUACAAAUAACAGAAGUAUUUAUGCCUUUGCCCUUGAAGUGUUUUUGUUUGUUCAGUGUUUUGGAAGUUGCUCUGAGGGGAAAAAGAAGAUGCUUCCAUAUAAAAUGAUAUGUUCACAGAGCUUGUGAAAUACUGCGCUAUCCAUUGGAGCGUACCAGCAUCCUUCUGUGCAGAAACCUCCGUAGAACCUCGCUGUGGUUCUGGAAAUUAAACCAAAGGUGUCUGAUAUACUGGUGUAAAAUCAUAGAAUCACCAGGGUUGGAAAAGACCUCCAAGAUCACCCAGUCUGACCAUCCUCCUACCACCAGUACUUCCCCAGGAAGCCACAUCCCUAAGUACAACAUCUCAACAUCCCUUGAGCACCUCCAGGUAGAGUGGCUCCAUCACCUCCAUGGGCAGCCUGGCCCAGCACCUGGCCUCUCUUUCAAAGAAGAAAUUUCUCCCAGUAAGUAUAUGGAUAUUCCUAUUAUGCUGCUAUUCAACUCUGCCUGGUUUCUGCUGCCAUUGGUUUUCUGUAUCAGCUGGUACUCCGCUAAACUCUUCCCAUACCUCAGUACUUUGGAGCAUAAGUGUCUUUUGGAAGGGUAAGAGAAUGUUGGCAAAGUAAUCGUGUUUGUAAAACAGAAACAUCGUGUUCCUCUUUAUUUACAGUUACUGAAGUGGAAAUGGAUCUAUUGCUUGCGUUUCCCUGAAGUUAGAUACCCCUCAUUCAGACACCUGAAGAGCCGUUAUCAACGCCACAGUUUUUGUUUUGCUUUGUCUGUGGGAGGGGAAAUGUCCUUUAUUGGCCUAUCUCAGAAACAGCAUCUCAUUAGCUGGGAACUGAUUCAGGAUUCUUUUAAUUCCACGUAUCAUUAAGGCAUAUAUGGCACUUCCAGGGAAAAUCAAACCACGCGGAAGCAAUGAAGACUGGCAGUUACGUCUGAUCAACAGUAAUAAUCUGGUGUCCAGGGAAAAAACAACGACGAGUUUUUCUUCCAAACUCCAUCAACAGCUCAGAGGAUCAAUGCCUGAGAACUUUUCAUUGCUCUGAGGAAAACUGGAUGGCUGAGUGAUGGGAAGAGCAGAAGGUGGAACAUAUCCUAGCUUUAUACUUA